rnacentral:rRNA from 1 species
GACGAACGCUGGCGGCGUGCUUAACACAUGCAAGUCGAACGGAAAGGCCCUGCUUUUGUGGGGUGCUCGAGUGGCGAACGGGUGAGUAACACGUGAGUAACCUGCCCUUGACUUUGGGAUAACUUCAGGAAACUGGGGCUAAUACCGGAUAGGAGCUCCUGCUGCAUGGUGGGGGUUGGAAAGUUUCGGCGGUUGGGGAUGGACUCGCGGCUUAUCAGCUUGUUGGUGAGGUAGUGGCUUACCAAGGCUUUGACGGGUAGCCGGCCUGAGAGGGUGACCGGCCACAUUGGGACUGAGAUACGGCCCAGACUCGUACGGGAGGCAGCAGUGGGGAAUAUUGCAGAAUGGGCGGAAGCCUGAUGCAGCAACGCCGCGUGCGGGAUGACGGCCUUCGGGUUGUAAACCGCUUUGGCCUGUGACGAAGCGUGAGUGACGGUAAUGGGUAAAGAAGCACCGGCUAACUACGUG